rnacentral:rRNA from 1 species
ACCGCUCAGUAACACGUGGACAACCUACCCAAAGGUCUGGGAUAACUCCGGGAAACUGGGGAUAAUACCGGAUAGGUCAAGAGUACUGGAAGGGUUUUUUGAUUGAAAGCUCUGGCGCCUUUGGAUGGGUCUGCGGCUGAUUAGGUUGACGCCGGUGUAAAGUACCGGCGUGCCGAUUAUCAGUACGGGUUGUGGGAGCAAGAGCCCGGAGAUGGAUUCUGAGACACGAAUCCAGGCCCUACGGGGCGCAGCAGGCGCGAAAACUCUACAAUGCAGGCAACUGCGAUAGGGGAACAUCGAGUGGCAUCUACAUUAGGUGUCUGUCCAGCUGUCUAAAAAACGGCUGUUAGCAAGGGCCGGGCAAGACCGGUGCCAGCCGCCGCGGUAAUACCGGCGGCUCGAGUGGUGGCCGAUAUUAUUGAGUCUAAAGGGUCCGUAGCCGGCUUUGCAAGUCUUGUGGGAAAUCCAGCGGCUUAACCGUUGGGCGUCUGCGGGAUACUACAUUGCUUGGGACUGGGAGAGGUAGGAGGUACUCAGGGGGUAGGAGUGAAAUCCUGUAAUCCUCUGGGGACCACCGGUGGCGAAGGCGUCCUGCCAGAACAGGUCCGACGGUGAGGGACGAAAGCUAGGGGCACGAACCGGAUUAGAUACCCGGGUAGUCCUAGCCGUAAACGAUGCCCGCUAGGUGUCACGGCAGUCGUGAACUGCCGUGGUGCCGUAGGGAAGCCGUGAAGCGGGCCACUUGGGAAGUACGACCGCAAGGUUGAAACUUAAAGGAAUUGGCGGGGGAGCAC